rnacentral:rRNA from 1 species
GUGUACCUACGGGGGGCAGCAGUGGGGAAUAUUGCGCAAUGGGCGAAAGCCUGACGCAGCGACGCCGCGUGAGGGAUGAAGGUCUUCGGAUCGUAAACCUCUGUCAGCAGGGAAGAACGGUCACUGUGCUAAUCAGCAGUGAAUUGCCGGUACCUGCAAAGGAAGCACCGGCUAACUCCGUGCCAGCAGCCGCGGUAAUACGGAUGGUGCGAGCGUUAAUCGGAAUUGCUGGGCGUAAAGCGCUAGUAGGC